AGGAGGGGAGGUCGACGAGCGACUUGAACCCCGCGAGAGGGAGGAACGAGGGGAGGGCCGAGAGCCCGCGCGGAGAAGGCCUGAGACCUCGGGGAGAGGGAGGUAGACUCACCUCGGCCAACAGACCACCACACCGUCGGGACAAUGACCACUGCUAGCCUCUUUCCCUUUGCCCUCGCGGGGCAACCUUUUCCCCUCGCACGCAGCCCUCUCCAAGACCGCGCAAGACACCGCCACGGCCGCGGGGCCGGGACGCCCUCCAAACCACAGCUCCUCCCACCCGCCGAGCCGACUUUCUACCCCUCGGCCCCCCCAAGACCCCGGUGACCGCCCGGACGCGUACGUGCCCGGCCGCCCCCCAUGCGGGGG
rnacentral:lncRNA from 1 species